rnacentral:lncRNA from 1 species
ACGAGCCUUUCGCUGGAAUUUGCUCCAAAAGAGACAUUUUUAUUUGCUUUUGUUUCCCUUUAAAUAAGGUUAUAGCAUUUUUUUGGGUCCCCUAAAUGAAGACCAGAAGCCCCCACACAAGAUGAAGGAAAGAAAAGGGGUGAUCUCUAGCAAGCCCUUCCCCUGAUGCUUUGGAGAGACAUUGGGACCGAACCACCAUUUGCACACAAGACUAGAAAUUAGUAGUUGUGGAUAACGAUUUGCAAGCAGAACUGGGCCUUGUCACCCCUGCCUCCCACUCUGAAAAGGGCCGAGCAGUGUCUUCCUGUGCAGACCCAAGAAGGCCUCAGGGAGGUGAUGUGUGUCUGCUGUCACCAGAAAACUGAAUUUCUCAGUAGAUCUUGCAUGUACAGACUCUGCGGCAACCUGGGCAUCUCUGGCGUGGAAUGGGACAGGCUCGGAUGCGUUGAUUUGUAUCUAGAUUUCUGAGCACAAAUACAUUCCGCUGAACAUUUUGGGGUUAAUGAUGACAGAAGCCGAGAAAGCCUGCAGUGUGUGGGGGGUGGGGGGGGGGAGGUGAGGGGUUUUCACAACAAAAGCCAGAUUAAAAACCAUAUUGUCGACACACCUAUUUUUGGACAUGGGAUGUAUGUUUUUCCAGAGGGGAGACAAG